rnacentral:rRNA from 1 species
CAGUAGCCGCGGGAAUACGGAGGGUGCAAGCGUUAAUCGGAAUUACUGGGCGUAAAGGGCGCGUAGGCGGCGAUCAAAGUCAGGCGUGAAAUUCCUGGGCUCAACCUGGGGGCUGCGUUUGAUACUUGAUUGCUAGAGUGGGGAAGAGGGUCGUGGAAUUCCCAGUGUAGAGGUGAAAUUCGUAGAUAUUGGGAAGAACACCGGUGGCGAAGGCGGCGACCUGGUCCUUGACUGACGCUGAGGCGCGAAAGCGUGGGGAGCAAACAGGAUUAGAUACCCCCGUAGUCCCUGUCUCUUAUAC